rnacentral:rRNA from 1 species
GUUGGUCUUACCCUAAGACGGUGCGCUAACCGCAAGGAGGGCGCUUACCACGGUGGGAUUCAUGACUGGGGUGAAGUCGUAACAAGGUAGCCGUAGGUGAACCUGCAGAAGGAUCA